CCUACGGGUGGCAGCAGUGGGGAAUAUUGCACAAUGGGGGAAACCCUGAUGCAGCGACGCCGCGUGAGUGAAGAAGUAAUUCGUUAUGUAAAGCUCUAUCAGCAGGGGAGAAAAUGACGGUACCUGUGUAAGAAGCCCCGGCUAACUACGUGCCAGCAGCCGCGGUAAUACGUAGGGGGCAAGGGUUAUCCGGAUUUACUGGGUGUAAAGGGAGCGUAGACGGCAGUGUAAGUCUGGAGUGAAAGUCGGGGGCUCAACCCCAGGAUUGCACUUGAAACUGUACGGCUGGAGUGCAGUAGAGGUAAGCGGAAUUCGUAGUGUAGCGGUGAAAUGCGUAGAUAUUAGGAGGAACACCAGUGGCGAAGGCGGCUUACUGGACUGUAACUGACGUUGAUGCUCGAAAGUGUGGGUAGCAAACAGGAUUAGAUACCCCAGUAGUC
rnacentral:rRNA from 1 species